rnacentral:rRNA from 1 species
GACGAAGGAUGCAAGCGUUAUCCGGAUUCAUUGGGUUUAAAGGGAGCGUAGGUGGCCUUAUAAGUCAGUGGUGAAAUCUCUGGGCUUAACCCAGAAAUUGCCAUUGAUACUGUAGGGCUUGAGUAUAGUUGCCGUUGGCGGAAUAUGACAUGUAGUGGUGAAAUACAUAGAGAUGUCAUAGAACACCGAUUGCGAAGGCAGCUACGAAACUAUAACUGACACUGAGGCUCGAAAGUGCGGGGAUCAAACAGG